AUUGAACGCUGGCGGCAUGCUUUAUACAUGCAAGUCGAACGAGUGGCGCACGGGUGAGUACUACAUCGGAACGUGUCCUUUCGUUGGGGAUAACUGAUCGAAAGAUCUGCUAAUACCGCAUACGAUUGGAGCGGGGGAUGCCCAAUUAGCUAGUUGGUGAGGUAAAGGAUCACCAAGGAGACGAUCGGUAGCCGGUCUGAGAGGACGACCAGCCACACUGGGACUGAGACACGGCCCAGACUCCUACGGGAGGCAGCAGUAGGGAAUAUUGGGCAAUGGUGGAAAUCCUGAUCCAGCCAUGCCGCGUGCAUGAUGAAGGUCUUCGGAUUGUAAACUUCUGUUGUCAGGGAAGCGGUACCUGAAGAAUAAGCACCGGCUAACUACGUGCCAGCAGCCGCGGUAAUUC
rnacentral:rRNA from 1 species